GGGGAUUUAGCUCAGUGGUAGAGCACUUGCCUAGCAAGCGCAAGGCCCUGGGUUCGGUCCCCAGCUCCA
rfam:Rattus norvegicus chromosome 5, whole genome shotgun sequence.